GACGAACCGUGCGAACGUUGUUCGGAAUCACUGGGCUUAAAGGGCGCGUAGGCGGCUUAUCAAGUCAGGGGUGAAAUCCUCCAGCUUAACUGGAGAAGUGCCUUUGAUACUGAUGGGCUCGAGGGAGGUAGGGGCAUGUGGAACUUCUGGUGGAGCGGUGAAAUGCGUUGAUAUCAGAAGGAACGCCGGUGGCGAAAGCGACGUGCUGGACCUCUUCUGACGCUGAGGCGCGAAAGCUAGGGGAGCAAACGGG
rnacentral:rRNA from 1 species